rnacentral:rRNA from 1 species
GAUGAACGCUGGCGGCGUGCCUAAUACAUGCAAGUCGAGCGAACGGACGAGAAGCUUGCUUCUCUGAUGUUAGCGGCGGACGGGUGAGUAACACGUGGAUAACCUACCUAUAAGACUGGGAUAACUUCGGGAAACCGGAGCUAAUACCGGAUAAUAUUUUGAACCGCAUGGUUCAAAAGUGAAAGACGGCCUUGCUGUCACUUAUAGAUGGAUCCGCGCUGCAUUAGCUAGUUGGUAAGGUAACGGCUUACCAAGGCAACGAUGCAUAGCCGACCUGAGAGGGUGAUCGGCCACACUGGAACUGAGACACGGUCCAGACUCCUACGGGAGGCAGCAGUAGGGAAUCUUCCGCAAUGGGCGAAAGCCUGACGGAGCAACGCCGCGUGAGUGAUGAAGGUCUUCGGAUCGUAAAACUCUGUUAUUAGGGAAGAACAUAUGUGUAAGUAACUGUGCACAUCUUGACGGUACCUAAUCAGAAAGCCACGGCUAACUACGUGCCAGCAGCCGCGGUAAUACGUAGGUGGCAAGCGUUAUCCGGAAUUAUUGGGCGUAAAGCGCGCGUAGGCAGUUUUUUAAGUCUGAUGUGAAAGCCCACGGCUCAACCGUGGAGGGUCAUUGGAAACUGGAAAACUUGAGUGCAGAAGAGGAAAGUGGAAUUCCAUGUGUAGCGGUGAAAUGCGCAGAGAUAUGGAGGAACACCAGUGGCGAAGGCGACUUUCUGGUCUGUAACUGACGCUGAUGUGCGAAAGCGUGGGGAUCAAACAGGAUUAGAUACCCUGGUAGUCCACGCCGUAAACGAUGAGUGCUAAGUGUUAGGGGGUUUCCGCCCCUUAGUGCUGCAGCUAACGCAUUAAGCACUCCGCCUGGGGAGUACGACCGCAAGGUUGAAACUCAAAGGAAUUGACGGGGACCCGCACAAGCGGUGGAGCAUGUGGUUUAAUUCGAAGCAACGCGAAGAACCUUACCAAAUCUUGACAUCCUUUGACAACUCUAGAGAUAGAGCCUUCCCCUUCGGGGGACAAAGUGACAGGUGGUGCAUGGUUGUCGUCAGCUCGUGUCGUGAGAUGUUGGGUUAAGUCCCGCAACGAGCGCAACCCUUAAGCUUAGUUGCCAUCAUUAAGUUGGGCACUCUAAGUUGACUGCCGGUGACAAACCGGAGGAAGGUGGGGAUGACGUCAAAUCAUCAUGCCCCUUAUGAUUUGGGCUACACACGUGCUACAAUGGACAAUACAAAGGGCAGCGAAACCGCGAGGUCAAGCAAAUCCCAUAAAGUUGUUCUCAGUUCGGAUUGUAGUCUGCAACUCGACUACAUGAAGCUGGAAUCGCUAGUAAUCGUAGAUCAGCAUGCUACGGUGAAUACGUUCCCGGGUCU